GAUGAACGCUGGCGGCGUGCCUAAUACAUGCAAGUCGAGCGAACGGACGAGAAGCUUGCUUUUCUGAUGUUAGCGGCGGACGGGUGAGUAACACGUGGAUAACCUACCUAUAAGACUGGGAUAACUUCGGGAAACCGGAGCUAAUACCGGAUAAUAUUUUGAACCGCAUGGUUCAAAAGUGAAAGACGGUCUUGCUGUCACUUAUGGAUGGAUCCGCGCUGCAUUAGCUAGUUGGUAAGGUAACGGCUUACCAAGGCAACGAUGCAUAGCCGACCUGAGAGGGUGAUCGGCCACACUGGAACUGAGACACGGUCCAGACUCCUACGGGAGGCAGCAGUAGGGAAUCUUCCGCAAUGGGCGAAAGCCUGACGGAGCAACGCCGCGUGAGUGAUGAAGGUCUUCGGAUCGUAAAACUCUGUUAUUAGGGAAGAACAUAUGUGUAAGUAACUGUGCACAUCUUGACGGUACCUAAUCAGAAAGCCACGGCUAACUACGUGCCAGCAGCCGCGGUAAUACGUAGGUGGCAAGCGUUAUCCGGAAUUAUUGGGCGUAAAGCGCGCGUAGGCGGUUUUUUAAGUCUGAUGUGAAAGCCCACGGCUCAACCGUGGAGGGUCAUUGGAAACUGGAAAACUUGAGUGCAGAAGAGGAAAGUGAAAUUCCAUGUGUAGCGGUGAAAUGCGCAGAGAUGUGGAGGAACACCAGUGGCGAAGGCGACUUUCUGGUCUGUAACUGACGCUGAUGUGCGAAAGCGUGGGGAUCAAACAGGAUUAGAUACCCUGGUAGUCCACGCCGUAAACGAUGAGUGCUAAGUGUUAGGGGGUUUCCGCCCCUUAGUGCUGCAGCUAACGCAUUAAGCACUCCGCCUGGGGAGUACGACCGCAAGGUUGAAACUCAAAGGAAUUGACGGGGGCCCGCACAAGCGGUGGAGCAUGUGGUUUAAUUCGAAGCAACGCGAAGAACCUUACCAAAUCUUGACAUCCUUUGACAACUCUAGAGAUAGAGCCUUCCCCUUCGGGGGACAAAGUGACAGGUGGUGCAUGGUUGUCGUCAGCUCGUGUCGUGAGAUGCUGGGUUAAGUCCCGCAACGAGCGCAACCCUUAAGCUUAGUUGCCAUCAUUAAGUUGGGCACUCUAAGUUGACUGCCGGUGACAAACCGGAGGAAGGUGGGGAUGACGUCAAAUCAUCAUGCCCCUUAUGAUUUGGGCUACACACGUGCUACAAUGGACAAUACAAAGGGCAGCGAAACCGCGAGGUCAAGCAAAUCCCAUAAAGUUGUUCUCAGUUCGGAUUGUAGUCUGCAACUCGACUACAUGAAGCUGGAAUCGCUAGUAAUCGUAGAUCAGCAUGCUACGGUGAAUACGUUCCCGGGUCU
rnacentral:rRNA from 1 species